rnacentral:rRNA from 1 species
UACGGGGGGGGCAAGCGUUGUUCGGAAUUACUGGGCGUAAAGGGCUCGUAGGCGGCCAACUAAGUCAGACGUGAAAUCCCUCGGCUUAACCGGGGAACUGCGUCUGAUACUGGUUGGCUUGAGUGUGGGAGAGGGAUGCGGAAUUCCAGGUGUAGCGGUGAAAUGCGUAGAUAUCUGGAGGAAGACCGGUGGCGAAGGCGGUCUGCUGGGCAGUUUCUGACACUGAGGCGCGACAGCGUGGGGAGCAAACAGG